UAAUACAGAGGGUGCGAGCGUUGUCCGGAAUCACUGGGCGUAAAGGGCGCGUAGGUGGCGACCCAAGUCCAUGGUGAAAGCUCGAUGCUCAACAUCGAGUCGGCCACGGAUACUGGGUUGCUCGAGCACUGUAGAGGCUAAUGGAAUUCCGGGUGUAGCGGUGGAAUGCGUAGAGAUCCGGAAGAACACCGGUGGCGAAGGCGGUUAGCUGGGCAGUUGCUGACACUGAGGCGCGACAGCGUGGGGAGCAAACAGGAUUAGAUACCCUGGUAGUCCACGCCGUAAACGAUGGGCACUAGAUGCUUGGGGGAGCGACCCCCUGAGUGUCGUCGCUAACGCAGUAAGUGCCCCGCCUGGGGAGUACGGCCGCAAGGCUG
rnacentral:rRNA from 1 species